GACGAACCGUGCGAACGUUGUUCGGAAUCACUGGGCUUAAAGGGCGCGUAGGCGGGUCAGCAAGUCCGGGGUGAAAUCUUUCGGCUCAACCGGAAAAGUGCCUCGGAUACUGCUGGUCUUGAGGGAGGUAGGGGUUUGUGGAACUUCUGGGUGGAGCGGUGAAAUGACGUUGAUAUCAAGAGGAACACCUGCGGCGAAGGCGGGUUGCUGGGCUGACACUGACGCUGAGGCGACGAAAGCCUAGGGGAGCAAACAGGAUAGAA
rnacentral:rRNA from 1 species